ensembl:lncRNA novel transcript
AUUUGGUGGGGCCUUUGUAUCUCACUCCCGCCACAGCUUGGGAUCGGUCUCUGCUGUUUUACGUCCUCCACCUCGGGAGCCCCCGGUGACUGUCACAGCCUCUUGCCCUGUGAUCUGCAGGUUCUGGGAGACGCACAGCUAAGAUGCCAGGACAUCCUGGAAGCUGGGAAAAGGUUCUGACAACAAAGGAGAUUGUGACAUAUUGCUGGGCCUAACACUAAGGUGAUGUUAGUUAUUUGCUUUGGCUGUGCCCUUGGAAGGCAUUGAGACAUACUGCUGUGCCCAGCACCAAGAUGAUGUAACGUGACUCUUCUGCUUCAGGCCUGCCAAAAGAAAAGAUUGUGACAGAUCACUGGACCCAGCACCUAGGUGAUAUGACUCUCCUCAUUUGCCUGAGACCUGCAUAUUUUAGACAUUGUGAUAUACAACUGGAACAAACACCUAGGGGUUGGAAGGCUCCUGCCUGAGUCCCUCCCACAGGAGGCCUUGUGAUGUUUUUUUGUUUGUUUUUUGUUUUCUUUGAGAUGGAGUUUUGUUAUUGUUGCCCAGACUGGCAUGCGGUGGCGCAACCUUG